UGUGCCAGCUUCGCAGUGGCGCCGCAUGACAAUGUGGGGCGGGAGUCCUCCUUGAGCGCUGCCCGGGGUGCAUCAUUGCUUUCACGGCACGUCCUUUUGCGGGAUUAUAUAAUGCUGAUUAAGGUAGAUUACUUUAUGAAUCAAUCUGCCUCUCAGAGAAACGAGGGCAUUUUGCCAAAGCCUUCUCUGCUGCGGUGACGAUUUCAUGCCGGUUAACAAAUCCCAGUGCUGAGCACAACUGAAGCACAGAGGCUGAAGUAUGCAAGUAGGACACAGGUCUGCCUGGCUGCGGAUGCUGUCGAUAGGAUUAACAGCAGGAGAAGAGAAGCGACUAACUCUGAUUCUGUAUGGGACCUACCAUAGCAGGAAAUGUUUAAGACGAUGCUGGCUGAGAUGUAUGGGUGAAAAUAUCUAUGACUGAGAAACAUAUUCUACUUCUCCAAGUGCAAGAAAUGUGAGAAAUCCUGGCAUUCUGUCAUGGUCCAGAGA